UCUGGUGGUGAUGCGCUUAGGGGACACACCCGUUCCCAUCCCGAACACGAUGGUUAAGACCUAAGCGGCCGAUGAUACUAUGCUGGAGACGGCAUGGGAAAGCAGGUGGCUGCCAGAU
rnacentral:rRNA from 1 species